GUUUAAGGGAAAAAAACUUUAUUAACCUAAAACUACAAAGGAAAACACUAAGGAAAAACACACAAAAUACAUAGAACCCAAGAUGAAAACCUUCCAAAUUUCUUCCUCCUCCCCCCACCUAGAUUUCCAAUUCCAUUACCACCAAAUCCACCCUUUAGAUAAUCAGUUCUCAAUUCCUCGAGAAGAGAGAAGUCCCUCUUGCACCACAGACUUCCCCAGGAAACAGUCGAAACUUCUCGUGUUUCCAUGUCACAUGUGGCACCGCCCGGAGAACAUUUUGCCAUCGUGACUUCUUCCUUCCAUGUCCAGAGCUCUCACCACUGCACAUGGAUCAGAGCUGCUUCUAGGGUUUUUCCCUUUAAGGAUACUUUGUCCAGUUCCAAAAAGAGCACAGUCCCUCUCCUUUUGGGACACCUGUCCCCCCCAAAUUUCACCCCCUGGGGCCGAGGGGUCUCUUGAACAGAGAUCAUCUUCCUCUUCUUCGAAGACGGAGGGCACCACCACCACCCUCCUCACCCGUCGUCUCUGUUCACAACCUCCACAUCACCGCACUCUCCUGGCUCUGAGCCAUCGCCUCCCCCUAGAAUGCAGUCUCUGUGUCACAGGAACACAAGGGGUUCUGCUGUGGCUAUACAAGAAAAGUCCAGCCAAAGGCCACUCCAUCAUCUCCUCCCACCUAGGAUUCUUCUCAACAUCCUCUCAAUCUCAUCAACUUCAGGAGGAAUCAGCAUUUGCAAGGUUUCCAUCCUCCCCAGAAGGGUUAAAAGUCCAGGCUCUGCCGGUUUGCUUCAUGAACUCCCACGCCUGGCUGCCCUGCUGGGCACCCCCCCUUCUCCUUCACGCCGGCCGCGCUAUCACAGGCACCGGCUCUGUCUCUCUCUCCCUCUCUCUCGGGGGGGGGAAUGGAGGAUGGCUGCCCGAAGCCCUUGCAAUGUUCUCCUCCACCCUUGGGCCCAGGCCUGGCCUACCUCCGGCCACAUGGCUCCCCUCCCCCCCCCUGCCCAGCUCGGCCGGGCAGGGGGGAGGUCUACUCACUCUCAAGCGGGACUCCAAGAGGAAGUUCCCCUGGGAGAUCACAGCUUUUAACCCCUGUGUUCUCAGAGGCGUAUCCUGCCCUCAGUGGACAAACCAGGUGCCAAUAUUAAAUCUGAACACUGAUUGGCUUGCCC
rnacentral:lncRNA from 1 species